CGGCGUUGAAUAGUCGCUGCCCUCGUACUGAAAUAUGAAAUAGCGUCUCCACCUCAAGAAGUCAUCCCCUGAUUUUCAUUCAUUGGUGAGGAUGCCGCCUAGGAGAGGGAAAGAAAAUUAGGGAUCAUCUAUACCAGAGAAGGGUUUUUAUUUACUUUUUGCAUAUAAAGUGGAAUGAUACAAUAAGCAAAGAUUUUCGUGAAAAAAUAAAACAGCAUGUGGUUCAAUACCAAUAUUUUGUAAGAUCAUGGGGUUAUGUCAGUCUUCCUAUUAUGCCCAUGACUUUGUUUAUUUUGCAGAUAGAUGGUGCCCCGACUUAUUUGGCUGUAACUGGAGGAG